rnacentral:rRNA from 1 species
UACGUAGGUGGCAAGCGUUGUCCGGAAUUACUGGGUGUAAAGGGCGUGUAGGCGGGGAGACAAGUCAGAUGUGAAAUACCGUGGCUUAACUGCGGGGGUUCAUCUGAAACUGUUUCUCUUGAGUGUCGGAGAGGAAAGUGGAAUUCCCAGUGUAGCGGUGAAAUGCGUAGAGAUUGGGAGGAACACCAGUGGCGAAGGCGGCUUUCUGGACGGCAACUGACGUUGAGGCUCGAAAGCGUGGGGAGCAAACAGGAUUAGAUACCCCGUAGUCCCUGAGCGGG